rnacentral:rRNA from 1 species
AGAGUUUGAUCCUGGCUCAGAGCGAACGCUGGCGGCAGGCCUAACACAUGCAAGUCGAGCGCCCAGCAAUGGGAGCGGCAGACGGGUGAGUAACGCGUGGGGAUCUGCCCAAUGGUACGGAAUAACCCAGGGAAACUUGGACUAAUACCGUAUGUGCCCUUCGGGGGAAAGAUUUAUCGCCAUUGGAUGAACCCGCGUCGGAUUAGCUAGUUGGUGAGGUAAAGGCUCACCAAGGCGACGAUCCGUAGCUGGUCUGAGAGGAUGAUCAGCCACACUGGGACUGAGACACGGCCCAGACUCCUACGGGAGGCAGCAGUGGGGAAUAUUGGACAAUGGGCGCAAGCCUGAUCCAGCCAUGCCGCGUGUGUGAUGAAGGCCUUAGGGUUGUAAAGCACUUUCGCCGGUGAAGAUAAUGACGGUAACCGGAGAAGAAGCCCCGGCUAACUUCGUGCCAGCAGCCGCGGUAAUACGAAGGGGGCAAGCGUCGCUCGGAAUCACUGGGCGUAAAGCGCACGUAGGCGGGUCGUUAAGUCAGGGGUGAAAUCCUGGAG